rnacentral:rRNA from 1 species
GAUGAACGCUGGCGGCGUGCCUAAUACAUGCAAGUAGAACGCUGAAGCUUGGUGCUUGCACCGAGCGGAUGAGUUGCGAACGGGUGAGUAACGCGUAGGUAACCUGCCUGGUAGCGGGGGAUAACUAUUGGAAACGAUAGCUAAUACCGCAUGACAACAGUUAUUGCAUGAUAACUGUUUAAAAGGGGCAAUUGCUCCACUACCAGAUGGACCUGCGUUGUAUUAGCUAGUUGGUGAGGUAACGGCUCACCAAGGCGACGAUACAUAGCCGACCUGAGAGGGUGAUCGGCCACACUGGGACUGAGACACGGCCCAGACUCCUACGGGAGGCAGCAGUAGGGAAUCUUCGGCAAUGGACGGAAGUCUGACCGAGCAACGCCGCGUGAGUGAAGAAGGUUUUCGGAUCGUAAAGCUCUGUUGUAAGAGAAGAACGAGUGUGAGAGUGGAAAGUUCACACUGUGACGGUAUCUUACCAGAAAGGGACGGCUAACUACGUGCCAGCAGCCGCGGUAAUACGUAGGUCCCGAGCGUUAUCCGGAUUUAUUGGGCGUAAAGCGAGCGCAGGCGGUUAGAUAAGUCUGAAGUUAAAGGCUGUGGCUUAACCAUAGUACGCUUUGGAGACUGCUUAACUUGAGUGCAAGAGGGGAGAGUGGAAUUCCAUGUGUAGCGGUGAAAUGCGUAUAUAUGUGGAUGAACACCGGGUGGCGAAAGCGGCUUCUCUGGCUUGUAGACUGACUCUUAGGCUCGAAAGCGUGGGGAGCAAACAGG